UGCAAGAGUGUGCCAAUACCAAUGCCACUCAACAACCACACAGCAAACCCUGAUAACUGUGAUAUCUCUGAACACAUAUAGCACAACAAAACAAAAUGCCUCAGCUGGAUAUUCAAUACAAAGACAAGAUAAUUACACCUGAUGUGCUGAGGGAAUCUCGUCUUUGAAAACAGACUUGAGAGAGUGACCUGGUCCACACUAUAGGAGAGAGCGCAGCACCUGGGGGCUGCUGGGGUGGUCCUGUGGGGCUCAUCCGAAUAUGCAAGAUCUCAGAGAAACUGCUUGACAGUCAAGAAGUACAUUGACGGUCCACUGGGUCACUAUGUGAUCAAUGUGACCUCAGCUGCUAAGCUGUGCAGCAAGGCCUUGUGCAAGAAGAACGGCAAAUGUGUUCGUAAGAGCCUGGACUCUGGGGCCUAUACCUCAACCCACGCUUCUUCAACAUCCGCCUCAACCACGGCAUCCGUGGACCAUGCUUCCAUGUCAGCGGCCACCUCAACAACCACGAUAUCCUGGACAUGAAGCACAAGUUCACCUGUCAGUGUUACCAGGGCUGGACGGGCAUCUACUGUGAGAUGCCUCAGAUAACAGAGCCUGUCCCGUCCCACCCGAGAGACAGUGUCCUGGGAGAACUACUGCUGCUCCUGUCCCUUCACUUCUCCUGUCUGUCUGUCAUCAUGUUCUUGGGUCUGUGUCUCAUUAUUAAGUGUCUGAUACUGUAAAGCGCAGGGUAGAUGGGACUUUGGACUGGCUCUGUUAAAUAAAAAAGACAAGGAAAUAAAGUUAGUUGUAGCUGUAUCUCAGUGACUGUAAAGUUUUGAGUCUAGCAGUGGUUUUGUAUGUUGCGUUCAAACACAACUAGUUUAAAUCUAGAGCAAAAAUUGAUUAUUAAAACACAGCACAAUAACCAAUGUAGUCCAAUUCAUGAAACAAGCACUCUUGUGAUUUUUUUUUUUUUAGUAAAUCAAAUAUACAGAGCUACCAGUAUGGUGUGAUUCGUGAACAAAUGACUCCUUUGAACUGGUUCAUUUGAUUGAAUCAAAAACAUGCAGUAUAGCACAACCAAUGUGGUUCGAUUCAUGAACAAAUGACUCUUUUAAACAGGUUAUUUUUUAGUGAAUCAAAAACAAA